GCCCGCUAGUGAGCAGAUGGAUCCAGUCCUGGCACUAAUAGGAUUUGGAAGUUUCCAAAAUGGUAUUUACCAACAUUAGUGUCCUCAUGGCUGCAUGAAUUCCCCAAAAUAGCUGCUGUCAGUGUCUUGUCUUCAGGGUGUGCUCCAGUUGCCUCCUGCCUCUCUGAGAGGCUCUCCAAGAUCAGCAGGAGAUUACAUCUAUAUAGUGUCAUCCUGACUAAAGCAGAGACUUUACUUUGCCAACAAAGGUCUGUCUAGUCGAAGCUAUGGUUUUUCCAGUAGUCAUGUAGAGAUGUGAGAGUUGGACUCUAAAGAAAGCUGAGCACUGAAGAAUUGAUGCUUUUGAACUGUGGUGUUGGAGAAGACUCACGAGAGUCCCUUGGACUGCAAGGAGAUCCAACCAGUCAAUCCUAAAGGAAAUCAGUCCUGAAUAUUCAUUGGAAGGACUGAUGCUGAAGCUGAAACUCCAAUACUUUGGCCACCUGAUGCGAAGAGCUGACUCAUUGGAAAAGACCCUGAUGCUGGGAAAGAUUGAAGGCAGGAGGAGAAGGGGACAACAGAGGAUGAGAUGUUUGGAUGGCAUCACCAACUCAAUGGACAUGAAUUUGAGUAAACUCUGGGUGUUGGUGAUAGACAGGGAGGCCUGGCAUGCUGCAGUCCGUGGGGUUGCAGAGAGCCAGACACGACUGAGCAACUGAACUGAUUGACUGACUAAUAUUUAGGAUUCCUGAAGAGCAGCUAUUCAUUUAUUCUAGAGAUAGCAUUUGAAUUCAAAUCUACCACUGGGUCACUACCAGAAAAAAAAAAAAAAACUUGCAAAAUAUAACCAUGGCUUACAUAUUGUCUUCUUUACAAUGAGGAAUAAUGGGACAGCUGAAAAUUGUCUCAGCCUCAUGACAAAGUUGGGAGAAUUACUUUAUGGUUUAUAAUUAUACUAGCUAGAAUAGACAUGUGAAUUGUCCCUGAAAUAUUCUAGUUUUUGCAGAGCUUUUGCUUGCAUUUUUAAACACAUUUCCAUUUUGGUUGAAUAGUUAAGUGCACUUCAUUUUGCAUUUUGUUUCCUGUGAUAUUUCCAUGACAAUGGCAAAGUAAGAUACAACCAUAAUAGCACAGUGAUGUCCUAAAUAUCAGUUGAUUUUAAAAGAACAAGUACCAUAUAAUUAAAGAAGGCAAUAACAUUGGUGAUUGAUCCCCUUUCAACCCUUUUCAUCCUGUUCCUUUAUCACUUGACCUUUGGAAAUGGCCAAAGGAGGGCGUAGACAGAUAGAGGGCAGAAAGAGGAAAGUUCUGCAUCCCUCAGGUUGCCUCUUACGCUAUGCUCUCCAUCUACAUCCAUAGCUCCUGUUAGGCAGCCCCUCUGAUACACUGCAGCUCUCAGGUCCUGGCAACCCCUCGCCAGCUUCCCUUCAAGCCUUGACGCUAUAGUAGCUUUCCAUGUGCAAGUGUUUGUGUAGAUAUAUGUCUGUGCUUCUCCUGGGUACCUAAGAGUAGACAUGCUGGGUCGUAUGGUAAUUCUAAUGUUUAACAUUUUAAGGAACUUUGCUGAGAAUGUUAAUAAUAAAUUUGGUUGCAAGUCUA